rnacentral:hammerhead_ribozyme from 1 species
GUCAAGCUGACGAGUCCAGAAUAGGACAAAAUGAGCGUCCUAGAC